UACCUAUUGGGGAAGAAUUAUUGUCAAAUAUUGAUUAUAAAGAAAUUAUAAAAAAUUUUGCAUUAUAAAAUACACGUAAAUUAAUUUUUCAAUGAUAAUCAAUAUUUAAAAUAUAUUAAUUUUUAAUAGAAAAGGUUUUAUUUUUUUAUUUGGCCCCAGAUCUAAAAAAUGUUAGGGCCGGCCCUACCAAUUGUGCCCCUCGUAUGUCAUAAAAAGUUACGAGUUAUAAUCAUUUUAACAUGAUUCUAAAUAAAGAUGGUAAUUUGAGCCAAUCCAUGGGAUAUUUGAUCUAGUCCACUUUGAAUAGGAUAGAUUUUAUCUGAUUCAAUUAAAAUUCGAAACAAAUAUGGC
rnacentral:lncRNA from 1 species